rnacentral:rRNA from 1 species
AUGGAGCAAGCCACCCCUCCCGCCGCCGCUGGCGUCGACCUAUCCCCGGCGGCGACCGACCUCGGCCGGGUGCACCUCCUGCCCUGCGGCAUCAGGCACAACAGCGCCGCCGCCGUCUCCGACUACUUCAAGCCGAGGGACACUGGCGUGGAGGUGGAUGGGGUGAAGGUGGAGGAGGCCUUCUUCCGCGGGAGGAACCUGCAGGGCGCCACCGUCGCGCUCCCCGAUGGCUACCGAGGUUAUGUACUGGAGAAGAAGAAGAACGAAGAAAAGGAUGCUCAGGGCAUGGAUGAGGAGGCUAGCAAUUUUGUAUCCCGUGCAGAAUUCCAGAACAUAACUUACUGGAACCAUGACACCAUGCCAUCAGCAGAGGAUCCUCUCCCACGGUGCUUUCAUUGGUUAGCCAUUGCGAAUGCAAUGCACAAGCCAGUGACUGCUGAAGACAUGGCUAACAUGUCAGCCAGGCAGAAUCAGAACAGUUGA